ACUGCUCAGUAACACGUGGACAACCUGCCCUUAGGUUGGGUAUAAACCCGGGAAACUGGGUAUAAUACCCGAUAGGUCUCGAUUGCUGGAAUGCAUCGAGAUUUAAAGCUCCGGCGCCUAAGGAUGGGUCUGCGGCCUAUCAGGUAGUAGUGGGUGUAGCGUACCUACUAGCCUACGACGGGUACGGGUUGUGAGAGCAAGAGCCCGGAGAUGGAUUCUGAGACACGAAUCCAGGCCCUACGGGGUGCAGCAGGCGCGAAAACUUUACAAUGCUGGCAACAGCGAUAAGGGAACCUCGAGUGCCAGGUUACAAAUCUGGCUGUCGAGAUGCCUAAAAAGCAUUUCAUAGCAAGGGCCGGGCAAGACCGGUGCCAGCCGCCGCGGUAACACCGGCGGCUCGAGUGGUAACCGUUAUUAUUGGGUCUAAAGGGUCUGUAGCCGGCCGGAUAAGUCUCUUGAGAAAUCUGGCAGCUUAACUGUCAGGCUUUCAGGAGAUACUGUCUGGCUCGAGGCCGGGAGAGGUGAGAGGUACUUCAGGGGUAGGGGUGAAAUCUUGUAAUCCUUGAAGGACCACCAGUGGCGAAGGCGUCUCACCAGAACGGACCUGACGGCAAGGGACGAAAGCUAGGGGCACGAACCGGACUAGAUACCCGGGUAGUCCUAGCCGUAAACGAUACUCGCUAGGUGUCGGCCACGGUGCGACCGUUGUCGGUGCCGUAGGGAAGCCGUGAAGCGAGCCACCUGGGAAGUACGGCCGCAAGGCUGAAACUUAAAGGAAUUGGCGGGGGAGCAC
rnacentral:rRNA from 1 species